rnacentral:rRNA from 1 species
GACGAACGCUGGCGGCGUGCCUAAUACAUGCAAGUAGAACGCAGUUGCGAACGGGUGAGUACCGCGUAGGUAACUGCCUCAUAGCGGGGGUUAACUAUUGGAAACGAUAUCUAAUACCGCAUCCUGUGAGAUGGACCUGCGUUGUAUUAGCUAGUUGGUGAGGUAAAGGCUCACCAAGGCGACGAUACAUAGCAUACCUGAGAGGGUGAUCGGCCACCUUGGAACUGGACACGGCCCAGACUCCUACGGGAGGCAGCAGUAGGGAAUCUUCGGCAAUGGACGGAAGUCUUACCGAGCAAAGCCGCGUGAGUGAAGAAGGUUUUCGGAUCGUAAAGCUCUGUUGUUAGAGAAGCGGUAACUAAACAGAAAGGGACGGCUAACUACGUGCCAGCCGCCGCGGUAAUUC